GCAAUGAUAUCGAUAGAAUUAUUUGAAAUCUUUCAGAGCAGACAGAUCUUUGUGUUGGGUAUAUACUAUAUACUUACUUACUAUAUAUAAUACUAUAGAGAUGCACGAACACUGCUGUUCCUUAUUGUACCAAUAGUUGUGUUAAUGGUACUGUAUACUUGGACCCAUCUGAUUGGAUAAAUAACACGUGUAACGUGCCCUUUUUGUAAGCAAACCACGCCGCACACUGAUUAUUUGUUCUUCUUCUUUCGUCUAGAUUUCUCCGAUGCCGCCUCCCCUCAGCCCUAGACCAUUUUCUUCUCAAGUUCUCUUUUUCCAGAAGCUCUUGCUUAAUCCCUCUGUUUUCAUUAAAAUGAGUUUGUCCCAACUUCUAAGGAACUUCAUUUUCUCCAUGGAUUGUUGUUAUCUUCUCCUGCUUCCUUCUCAAUUCUCAGUAUCUCUUUCUAUUCUAUGUUUUUUCAGAAGACAUUCUUUCUCGAUACAUAGCGGUUACUCUGAGGCUCUGUUUAUGCAUGUGAAAAUUUGUUCCAACGCUUCCACGGAAAUAUUCAUAUUAUGUGCACAAACUGCAACAACACAUACCAAUAAUCACAUUGAAUUUCCAUCUGCGGAAGAAAUUGUGUUGAAAAGGGAAGAAUUUUGAUGCUGCCAACAUGUUUGACUAUAUGCCUAAAACAACUGAAUAUUCCUUUUUUAUACUUUUAGCUAAAGUUGAUAUUAUCUUCUCCUCCAAAAUUUGUAAGAUCUUUAGUGGUGAUAACGGUGAAAAUUAUUCAUGUGUAAUGAAGUUAUUUUGCUUGUCCAAUGUAUAUAUGUUGUGUGAGAACUCUAAGCUUUUGGUAUAAUGUCAAGCCUUAUUUAUCUUUUGUAUUGACAUUUAUACUACUUUCGAUUUUGGUUCGAGAUAUUUGUUUUGUAUAUUUAUCUGUAUGCCUAAGUUUUCACUGUUUCACUUGUGAGAGUAAUAAAAUGCCCUGAUUCAGUUAUCUUUAAUUACAGUGAAAGGAAUCCUAGGAAGUUGGAUUUGGGUAUUGCGAUAGAGCGGAGUAUUACUAUUUUUGUUUUGAGUUAUAUGAGUGAUAUUCUAAAAGUUUUAUUGAAUUUAGACUUUUUUUGGAGCCGGUGAUAAGAGAAAAAACCUUGAGGAGGAAAAAGGUAUUGUCAUUAGUUUUCGGUUUUUGCUUCUCUACUGUGCAUCUUUGUACCUCCUAAACAUUUGAAACUUCAUUUUUUGUGUUUUCAAUUGCAGGAAAUAUGGUAAAUAAUUCGUGCUUAGAUUCCCUUGCAAUUCAGUAAUAUGAAACAUUUAAAUUUUCUUUUUCAGAAAGGAAAAUGAAUAAUUCUUUCAUGGUGCUCUACAUCUUGAUCCUACUGCACUUAGUUAUAGCUUUUUGUCAUGAUUUAACUAUUAAUAGAAAGCUUUCAUUUUACCUAUCUGUACUAUCUACUGAACAUUAUGGUAUAGAUAAUUAAUUUCCUUGAAUUUUUUUCUUUUCAUUUGACUUCAGUAGAAAUGUGAUGCACAUAAUCUUUCUAAUUGUCAUAUAAAAACUGGCGCACUUUAGAAUGGAAAUGAUGAUUAUUUGAUUUGGACUGAACAGGAAAAUGACAAAUUUAUAAUAUAAUCUUGCUGCAAAUUUUUGUCUUAGCAGCUGAUGAUGUUCCAUCUUAGCCUUGAAAUAUUAUCUUAGGAUCCAUUGUGCCAUAUGAAGUGGCAUGCUUCUAUUGGGUACUGGGUUGUAAUGAUGGUUGUCUGACUCGAAACAUAUUUGUAGAGAAGAGGUAUUCAAAUGUGCAGUAGGUAUAUUUAUUGGUGCUUUUUAUUCUUAGAGAAGCUUCUUGUGGUUAGCUACAUAUAAGUUUAUAUCAUUUACUAAAUCUUCAUGAACUUCUGA